AAAGAAGCAGGACAAUGGAACUUCCCAUUGACGUUUUGUCGACCCAAAUUUUGACCUUUAAGUACUUUUUCGGGCAUUUUGUGAUUUGGGCUAUAUUACGGACCCAAAAUUACUUGUUCAAGCAUUGUUUUCGAAUUUUUUCAAUGCAUCAAAGCUCGUUAAGACUAGAUGGGGUAUCCCUACAUAGCGGGUGGGACCCACGGCGAAUGUUCAUCAAGUCUUCAAAAAAGAAUAUAUACGAUUGCAUUGCAUAUACUAACGGAUGCGAUCAUACCAGCACUAAUGCACCGGAUCCCAUUAGAACUCCGCAGUUAAGCGUGCUUGGGCGAGAGUAGUACUAGGAUGGGUGGGUGACCUCCCGGGAAGUCCUCGUGUUGCAUCCCUCUUUUNUGUUUA
rnacentral:rRNA from 1 species